rnacentral:rRNA from 1 species
GAGUGACACAGGGAGGUAGUGACAAGAAAUAACAAUACGGGGCUUAAAGUCUUGUAAUUGGAAUGAUGGGAAUUUAAACCUCUUCCAGAGUAUCAAUUGGAGGGCAAGUCUGGUGCCAGCAGCCGCGGUAAUUCCAGCUCCAAUAGCGUAUAUUAAAAUUGUUGCAGUUAAAAAGCUCGUAGUUGAAUUUCUGGUGCAUUGCUUGUGUCCCUCUGGGGUCUGUGCAUGUGGCUUUUUUCGGACGGAGUUUCUUUGUCUGAAUGUUUACUUUGAGAAA